rnacentral:misc_RNA from 1 species
AAACUUGAAGCUUUCUACAUUUGCGUAGAAGAGAAAAUUGAAUUAAAUGAAUUUAAAUGGUGUUUUAUGGGAUAGAAUGAAAAGCUCACCCUAAUUCAGUGGAUACAGAAAGGAAAGAAUUUGCGGUUAGCUCUCUAUUGCAAGUCAACUUAGGUAUUUUUGGGUUUCUUGAAUUUUGAAGGUUGUAUGAGAACAAUAAUCUUUGGAGUUUAUAAUUUUUUGGCGGUAAAUUGAUUGUAUAACGUUUCUCCUUUGUCUUUGUUUUGGUCAAAACUUGUUUUCCUUUCUUCCUCAUAUCUGUGCCUUUAUAAUAUAGCUUUUUGUUGAAUUAGGUCUUGUUCAGUAAAUGAGUGG